rnacentral:rRNA from 1 species
GUGCCAGCCGCCGCGGUAAUACAGAGGGUGCGAGCGUAAUCGGAUUUACUGGGCGUAAAGCGUGCGUAGGCGGCUGAUUAAGUCGGAUGUGAAAUCCCUGAGCUUAACUUAGGAAUUGCAUUCGAUACUGGUCAGCUAGAGUAUGGGAGAGGAUGGUAGAAUUCCAGGUGUAGCGGUGAAAUGCGUAGAGAUCUGGAGGAAUACCGAUGGCGAAAGCAGCCAUCUGGCCUAAUACUGACGCUGAGGUACGAAAGCAUGGGGAGCAAACAGGAUUAGAUACCCUGGUAGUCCAUGCCGUAAACGAUGUCUACUAGCCGUUGGGGUCUUUGAGACUUUAGUGGCGCAGCUAACGCGAUAAGUAGACCGCCUGGGGAGUACGGUCGCAAGACUAAAACUCAAAUGAAUUGACGGGGGCCCGCACAAGCGGUGGAGCAUGUGGUUUAAUUCGAUGCAACGCGAAGAACCUUACCUGGCCUUGACAUAGUAGAAACUUUCCAGAGAUGGAUUGGUGCCUUCGGGAAUCUACAUAC